rnacentral:rRNA from 1 species
AUAUCAAUAAGCGGAGGAAAAGAAACCAACAGGGAUUGACCUCAGUAACGGCGAGUGAAGCGGUCAAUCAGCUCAAAUUUGAAAUCUGGCCUCUUUCAGGGUCCGAGUUGUAAUUUGUAGAGGAUGUUUUCGGCUACGCGCUACGGUUUAAAUUUCUUGGAACAGAAUGUCAUAGAGGGUGAGAGAUCCCGUCUUGACGCGAUUAGCUUCGUCCAUGUGAAACUCCUUCGACGAGUCGAGUUGUUUGGGAAUGCAGCUCAAAAUGGGUGGUAAAUUUCAUCUAAAGCUAAAUAUUGGCCAGAGACCGAUAGCGCACAAGUAGAGUGAUCGAAAGAUGAAAAGCACUUUGAAAAGAGAGUUAAACAGUAU